rnacentral:rRNA from 1 species
AUUGAACGCUGGCGGCAUGCCUUACACAUGCAAGUCGAACGGUAACAGGCCGCAAGGUGCUGACGAGUGGCGAACGGGUGAGUAAUGCAUCGGAACGUGCCCAGUCGUGGGGGAUAACUGCUCGAAAGAGCAGCUAAUACCGCAUACGACCUGAGGGUGAAAGCGGGGGACUGUAAGGCCUCGCGCGAUUGGAGCGGCCGAUGUCAGAUUAGCUAGUUGGUGGGGUAAAGGCCGACCAAGGCAACGAUCUGUAGUUGGUCUGAGAGGACGACCAGCCACACUGGGACUGAGACACGGCCCAGAUUCCUACGGGAAGCAGCAGUGGGGAAUUUUGGACAAUGGGCGCAAGCCUGAUCCAGCAAUGCCGCGUUCAGGAAGAAGGCCUUCGGGUUGUAAACUGCUUUUGUCAGGGAAGAAAUCUUCUGGGCUAAUACCCCGGGAGGAUGACGGUACCUGAAGAAUAAGCACCGGCUAACUACGUGCCAGCCGCCGCCGUAACAC